rnacentral:rRNA from 1 species
CCUACGGGGGGCAGCAGUGGGGAAUAUUGGACAAUGGGGGGAACCCUGAUCCAGCCAUGCCGCGUGUGUGAAGAAAGCCCUCGGGUUGUAAAGCACUUUCAGUGAGGAAGAACGCCUGGUGGUUAAUACCCAUCAGGAAAGACAUCACUCACAGAAGAAGCACCGGCUAACUCCGUGCCAGCAGCCGCGGUAAUACGGAGGGUGCGAGCGUUAAUCGGAAUUACUGGGCGUAAAGCGCGCGUAGGUGGCUUGAUAAGCCGGUUGUGAAAGCCCCGGGCUCAACCUGGGAACGGCAUCCGGAACUGUCAAGCUAGAGUGCAGGAGAGGAAGGUAGAAUUCCCGGUGUAGCGGUGAAAUGCGAAGAGAUCGGGAGGAAUACCAGUGGCGAAGGCGGCCUUCUGGACUGACACUGACACUGAGGUGCGAAAGCGUGGGUAGCAAACAGGAUUAGAUACCCUGGUAGUC